AUUGAACGCUGGCGGCAUGCCUUACACAUGCAAGUCGAACGGCAGCACGGGCUUCGGUCUGGUGGCGAGUGGCGAACGGGUGAGUAAAGUAUCGGAACGUACCUUUCAGUGGGGGAUAACGUAGCGAAAGUUACGCUAAUACAGCAUAUUCUGUGAGCAGGAAAGCAGGGGAUCGCAAUACCUUCCGAUGAUUGAGCGGCCGAUAUCAGAUUAGCAAGUUGGUGGGGCAAAGGCCUACCAAGGCGACGAUCUGUGGCGGGUCUGAGAGGAUGCUCCGCCACACUGGAACUGAGACACGGUCCAGACUCCUACGGGAGGCAGCAGUGGGGAAUUUUGGACAAUGGGGGCAACCCUGAUCCAGCCAUGCCGCGUGAGUGAAGAAGGCCUUCGGGUUGUAAAGCUCUUUCGGCCGGGAAGAAAUCGCAUGGGCUAAUACCCUGUGUGGAUGACGGUACCGGAAUAAGAAGCACCGGCUAACUACGUGCCAGCAGCCGCCGUAAUAC
rnacentral:rRNA from 1 species